rnacentral:rRNA from 1 species
AGUGAACGCUGGCGGUAGGCCUAACACAUGCAAGUCGAACGGCAGCACAGUAAGAGCUUGCUCUUACGGGUGGCGAGUGGCGGACGGGUGAGGAAUACAUCGGAAUCUACUUUUUCGUGGGGGAUAACGUAGGGAAACUUACGCUAAUACCGCAUACGACCUACGGGUGAAAGCAGGGGAUCUUCGGACCUUGCGCGAUUGAAUGAGCCGAUGUCGGAUUAGCUAGUUGGCGGGGUAAAGGCCCACCAAGGCGACGAUCCGUAGCUGGUCUGAGAGGAUGAUCAGCCACACUGGAACUGAGACACGGUCCAGACUCCUACGGGAGGCAGCAGCGGGGAAUAUUGGACAAUGGGCGCAAGCCUGGUCCAGCCAUACCGCGUGGGUGAAGAAGGCCUUCGGGUUGUAAAGCCCUUUUGUUGGGAAAGAAAAGCAGCAGGUUAAUACCCCGCUGUUCUGACGGUACCCAAAGAAUAAGCACCGGCUAACUUCGUG